rnacentral:rRNA from 1 species
GCUCAGGAUGAACGCUGGCGGCGUGCCUAACACAUGCAAGUCGAGCGAGGGUUUGCUCAGUAUUGAGUAUUCUAAGACUAGAAUGUUCAAUUCUGAGCAAAACCAAGCGGCGGACGGGUGAGUACCGCGUGGGUAACCUGCCCUAUACACAUGGAUAACAUACUGAAAAGUUUACUAAUACAUGAUAAUAUAUAUUUGCGGCAUCGCAGAUAUAUCAAAGUGUUAGCGGUAUAGGAUGGACCCGCGUCUGAUUAGCUAGUUGGUGAGAUAACUGCCCACCAAGGCGACGAUCAGUAGCCGACCUGAGAGGGUGAUCGGCCACAUUGGAACUGAGACACGGUCCAAACUCCUACGGGAGGCAGCAGUA